rnacentral:tRNA from 1 species
GCCCGGAUGGCGGAAUUGGCAGACGCGCUACAUUCAGGGUGUAGUCUUCGCAAGGGGGUGCAGGUUCAAGUCCUGUUCCGGGCA